CAGUAGCCGCGGUAAUACAGAGGGUGCAAGCGUUAAUCGGAAUUACUGGGCGUAAAGCGCGCGUAGGUGGUUUGUUAAGUUGGAUGUGAGAUCCCCGGGCUCAACCUGGGAACUGCAUUCAAAACUGACUGACUAGAGUAUGGUAGAGGGUGGUGGAAUUUCCUGUGUAGCGGUGAAAUGCGUAGAUAUAGGAAGGAACACCAGUGGCGAAGGCGACCACCUGGACUAAUACUGACACUGAGGUGCGAAAGCGUGGGGGGCAAACAGGAUUAGAUACCCCCGUAGUCCCUGUCUCUUAUAC
rnacentral:rRNA from 1 species